GACGAGGUUCACGAAGCACAUGCUUGUCUUCUUCAGGAUAUUUGAUUUAGAUAUUAAUUUGGUAGUCAAUAAAAAGGGUAUUACCUUCUUCCAUGUCCCUUGAUUAGUAAGAAAAUAACACAACAUUGUUGUUUUUGUGUAUUGAUUUUGGCACUAAGUGCCUCUGGUGACCUAUUUGUUUCAUUUUCCUGACUUGCUAUUAUUUUUAAAUAUGUGCAGGAAGACUGCUUCUACGACCUGCCUUACAAUAUUGGGUAUCAAAUUUUUGUGCUACGUUUACGGAAGACAAGUGACGAAAUUAUGAAGUGUACUCUCUCUAUAUAUGUAGAUAUAUACUUUGAUUGAAGAACUGUG
rnacentral:lncRNA from 1 species